rfam:Nematostella vectensis strain CH2 x CH6 NEMVEscaffold_129_Cont14627, whole genome shotgun sequence.
UCCCACAUGGUCUAGUGGUUAGGAUCCGGCGCUCUCUCCGCCGUGGUCCGGGUUCGAUUCCCGGUGUGGGAA